rnacentral:rRNA from 1 species
CAGUAGCCACGGUAAUACAUAGGUGGCAAGCGUUGUCCGGAAUUAUUGGGCGUAAAGGGCUCGCAGGCGGUUUCUUAAGUCUGAUGUGAAAGCCCCCGGCUCAACCGGGGAGGGUCAUUGGAAACUGGGAAACUUGAGUGCAGAAGAGGAGAGUGGAAUUCCACGUGUAGCGGUGAAAUGCGUAGAGAUGUGGAGGAACACCAGUGGCGAAGGCGACUCUCUGGUCUGUAACUGACGCUGAGGAGCGAAAGCGUGGGGAGCGAACAGGAUUAGAUACCCGGGUAGUCCCUGUCUCUUAUAC